UACGUAGGGGGCAAGCGUUGUCCGGAAUUAUUGGGCGUAAAGAGCUCGUAGGCGGUCUGUUGCGUCGGCUGUGAAAACCCGAGGCUUAACCUCGGGCCUGCAGCCGAUACGGGCAGACUAGAGUUCGGCAGGGGAGACUGGAAUUCCUGGUGUAGCGGUGAAAUGCGCAGAUAUCAGGAGGAACACCGGUGGCGAAGGCGGGUCUCUGGAACGCAACUGACGCUGAGACGCGAAAGCGUGGGGAGCAAACAGG
rnacentral:rRNA from 1 species